AGGUUAUGAUGUGUUCAUUUCCUUAAUAAGUCUUUAAAUCUCUUCCACUCCUCAAAUAAUGAUUCAAUGUCCAACUGUACAGAAGUUGUAAUCUCUUGACGCAACUU